rnacentral:rRNA from 1 species
UGAGGAAUAUUGGACAAUGGGCGCAAGCCUGAUCCAGCCAUGCCGCGUGCAGGAAGAAGCAUCUAUGGUGUGUAAACUGCUUUUGUACGGGAAGAAACACUCCUUCGUGGAGGAGCUUGACGGUACCGUAAGAAUAAGGAUCGGCUAACUCCGUGCCAGCAGCCGCGGUAAUACGUAGGUGGCAAGCGUUGUCCGGAUUUAUUGGGUUUAAAGGGUCCGUAGGCGGUUUAGUAAGUCAGUGGUGAAAGCCCAUCGCUCAACGAUGGAACGGCCAUUGAUACUGCUAGACUUGAAUUAUUAGGAAGUAACUAGAAUAUGUAGUGUAGCGGUGAAAUGCUUAGAUAUUACAUGGAAUACCAAUUGCGAAGGCAGGUUACUACUAAUGGAUUGACGCUGAUGGACGAAAGCGUGGGGAGCGAACA